rnacentral:miRNA from 1 species
GCUAGCCUGCUCGCAGCCUGAAAUUUAGAAGGGGAAAAUUGAAAUUUUUUCCACUUCUAAAUUUCAGGCUGCGAGCAGGUUACAG